GGGGCUGUAGCUCAGCUGGGAGAGCACCUGCUUUGCACGCAGGGGGUCAGCGGUUCGAUCCCGCUCAGCUCCACCA
rnacentral:tRNA from 1 species